ensembl:lncRNA
UGCAUUUAUGGGCUCAUAGAUAGCAAACGAAAUGGCUAAAUUAGUUAGUUUACCAUAAAAUUGUAUCUCUCACUUUAGUGAAAUGAAACACAUGGGAAUAAUUUUACCUGAGAGGAACGUGUAUAUUGCAAAAGCUUGUUAAAAAUGCAUUAAAAAAAAAAAAAAAGGAAAAAAAAAAAAAGGUAAAAUGAACAUGUAAAUCUACUAAUUUAAAAUACCUUAAAAAAUGUAAAACUCAAACUAGUUUAGUAACAUAUUUUAAUCAAAUCCUUUUUAUCUUUUGACAACCAUCUUACCUGAAUAAUUUUUUUCUCUGUAAACAGAUGAAUCAGUGCUGCUGUGUUUAUAUUCUUCCUUGCAUUUGCAUUUGAUUUCUGACUUUUUUUCACUUUGUAUACCAAGGUUGCUUAUAGCAUUAUGAAUUAGGCUCUUUAAAGAAAAGAAAUCCAUAUGAAACAUAUGAUACAAUGAAAUCCAUUUCUUUGUUUCUUACUAGAGUUGAUUACUCAUAAAUAGAUAUCACCAAAAUACCUUCUAAUAAGACUUUGUGAAUAUCCAACCUGAUUGAAAACUUGUAGUUAUGCUCUAAACUAUUUCCCCCCAAAACUGCAGCAUCAUACCAGACCAAAUUCAUAUUUGUAAUCGGCUCACAACAUGGAUGAAUAUGUCCAUUGGGUAUGCUGCCAACUUCAAAUGAGAUGUGCCAAUUCACACAGCUGAGGCUCUGAAACAGUAACUUGACACAGAAAACUCAAUAAAAUUCUCUUUAGAAAUUAUCAUUCCAAACUAAUGUAGAAUCAUAACAUAAAGUGUCUGGUAAAAGUAUCAUUGUGAGUAUCCAUAUCUUUUGUCCCUGGUAAUUGCAAACAUUUUAUUUUAUUUUAGAAAAUGAACCUAAUUGCAUCUUUUACUAAAUACUGGCCUUCAAAAGUCACUGGUGGUCUUCGAAGGUCAAUAUGACUAUUCUCUAUAUACUGACUGAAUAAUACAGGUCACAUAAGGCUAAGAGCCAAUGUCAGUGAUCUGGGCUGGCUGAUUGUUUUCCUUUACUGCCUUGAGUAAUACCUGUGCAUUUUGAUUGCUCUCAGUGGAUUUGCUCACAUUUAACACUCGUCCAGGAACUAGGCUGCAGGAAACAAUCUGCUGAUGAGGUGUGAGCGGGGAUAAAAUCCAGCUUGCACGAUUUUACUGCCUUAGCAAAUUGUGCUGCCUGGAGCAAAUGGAUUAUUACAAACUCAUCCCACCUAAUAUAUAUAGAUGAUCUAAACAGAGAACCAAAUCUAUUGAAUAAGAAGGGGUCAUUUUUACACAACACUUUGUCACAACCUGCCCUUACUUAGAAAAAUAAAAGUGAUAGGCAAGGUGUUAUACGCUGUUAAUAAGAUUUUCAGACAACCAGAAAUAGCUGGAAUGUCCUGAUGAUCUGAUUCAUAAAAUUUACCCCCUGCAUCUAUAAAGCCCAGUAAAUGUGUGGGUCUAUGAUUUUCUUUAAUCUAUUCAUUUUUAUUAUAAGCAGAUGUUUCAAGCUGAGCACUUCAUGGUGAUUAUAUAUGGCAACUCUCAUGUGACUUAAGUAGUGGGGCUUCUAGCAUCAUGUCUUUUAAAACUGUCAGGUUUUCUCUAAGGAAUAUUUAGUAAAAUGCUGAUUCCUUAGUUAAAUGAUGCAAGGCUCAGAAGAUAUGACAGUGUCUCAGAUUCCCACACGUACUGCCCAAUGCAUGUUAAGCUUUUGCAGGUUUGGGUUCACUGAUAAGAAGCAAAUAAAAUUGGUAUUGGUAUCUGAAAAAACUGUUGUUUAUUCCCCUCCUGCUUACAGAGAAGCACAAGAGGUUCUCAAAUGGAAUGUAAACAUAGUGUGUACUUGCUCCCACACUCACCUUACAGCUCUACUGCAAUGCAUUUUUCUAGCUGCAAUCAUGAGUGGACAGACACACUUUCAGUCAUUUUUGCUGUUGCCUCUAGCUGUGAUUAAGCUGGGGAUGUAGCAACCCUUUUUGUGAUUGCUGUAGAUUGUUCAUUUCAGGAAAUUUGACUUUCCACUCAAGGAUAUUUCAUGUUUGCUAUGACUGAGCAGAGGCUAUUGCAGACAUUGAUGAUUUUUAGUUAUUUUUCUGACCACAGGCCUUCACUCAUUCCAGCUUCCCUAUUCAAAAUCAAAAUGUCAUUCUGUCCAGAAAAGGCAAAAUUUAUUAUUGUUCUGGUAGAAAUGCACCUUUUCUCAUUUGUUUUAUGGAACAGUUUUUGAAAUAUUUUGCUGAGUCUUGAGAGAGGAAAAAAAAACAAAGACACUUCCGAGUGUUCUGUUUUGACCCAGGUAUUCAUGCAAUGAAACCAAUGAAUAACUAUGCAAAUACUAUGUCAGUGAUUUAGGCUAAGCCUCUCUUCAAAUCAUCUCAAGUCUGAAACCACAAAGGCCUAAACCUCCUGUAUCUGUGAAGCCAACGUCCAACCAGCUCUUUUUCCUCACAUGAGCCUAAUCGCACAAGUCUGUCUCAAGACUAUCAUAGAAUGAUAGAAUGGCUUCGGUUGGAAGGAUUUGAAAGAUCAUCCAGUCCCACACCCCCUGCUGUGGGCAGAGUUGACAACUGCUGGAUGAAGAUCAGGUUACCUUUAACUGUAAUGGUUACCACUAAAUCAUAUUUUCUCUCACAUAUCACAUCUUAACAUAAAAUUUUCUUUUUGACAAGGGACGCAUACAGUGCACUUUGAAGGCAUGUCUCACCUGAGCUGGUAUGCCCAUUUUGUGUGGAAUAGCAUCAUGUAAAGAAACUCUCUUCUUCCCUGUAGUGCAGCAAUUGAGCAACAGUAGCUCAUGUAUUUACCAUGAGUGUAAAGGUUCCCAGCUGUAAGUUUCACUGAAGUUACAGCCAUAGAGACAUACAUAGGAGUAUUCACCAAGUGUUUUUUCGGAGGAUACAGAGUUUUCUUUUGGAACACAGUUUCCUCUGUUUAAAGUUUUGUUGCUGCAUUGUGAACCAACAAACUGUAAGAUGAAAUCAAAACCAGUCACACACAAAAAAAUGCAAUCAUAUUUUCUUCUAGCUUUAAAAACUUCAGAUGUAUUCUUUAUUUUUGUCAAAUAUGAAACAACUACAAGGCUAACAGAAUGAAAUACAUUACCAAGUUGAGGAUUUUUUCAUUCCAAUUAAGUAUGUAUGUAUAAUCAAACAGUGGUUGUUCUCUUUCCUCACGUAACUUGUAGUAGUCUCUUUUAUUUCUUCUGCUUUCCUUUGCUGUAUUCUGAAUUCUAAACAAACAUCAAGACAAUGUAACAUACUGUAUGACUCUGAACCUUCACUUUCAGAAGAUGAAAGAGAUUUCACGUCAUAGCUGCUAUAAAAUUAUAAUUCAUUGAAAUU